UACGUAGGGUGCAAGCGUUAUCCGGAAUUAUUGGGCGUAAAGAGCUCGUAGGCGGUUUGUUACGUCGGAUGUGAAAACCCGAGGCUUAACCUCGGGCCUACAUUCGAUACGGGCAGACUCGAGUGUGGUAGGGGAGACUGGAACUCCUGGUGUAGCGGUGAAAUGCGCAGAUAUCAGGAAGAACACCGGUGGCGAAGGCGGGUCUCUGGGCCACUACUGACGCUGAGGAGCGAAAGCGUGGGGAGCGAACAGG
rnacentral:rRNA from 1 species